GAUGAAGAACGCAGCGAAAUGCGAUAAGUAAUGUGAAUUGCAGAAUUCAGUGAAUCAUCGAAUCUUUGAACGCACAUUGCGCCCGCCAGUAUUCUGGCGGGCAUGCCUGUCUGAGCGUCAUUUCAACCCUCAUGCCCCUAGGGCGUGGUGUUGGGGAUCGGCCAAAGCCCGCGAGGGACGGCCGGCCCCUAAAUCUAGUGGCGGACCCGUCGUGGCCUCCUCUGCGAAGUAGUGAUAUUCCGCAUCGGAGAGCGAUGAGCCCCUGCCGUUAAACCCCCAACUUUCCAAGGUUGACCUCAGAUCAGGUAGGAAUACCCGCUGAACUUAAGCAUAUCAAUAGCGGAGGA
rnacentral:misc_RNA from 1 species